UGCCAGCCGCCGCGGUAACACGGGGGGCGCAAGCGUUAUUCGGAAUUAUUGGGCGUAAAGGGCGCGUAGGCGGUUAGGUAAGUCAGUCGUGAAAUCCCUCAGCUCAACUGAGGAACUGCGAUUGAUACUGCCAAACUUGAGUCCCGGAGAGGGUAGUGGAAUUCCCAGUGUAGCGGUGAAAUGCGUAGAUAUUCGGAGGAACACCAGAGGCGAAGGCGAUGCACUGGACCGGUACUGACGCUGAGGUGCGAAAGCGUGGGGAGCAAACAGGAUUAGAUA
rnacentral:rRNA from 1 species